rnacentral:rRNA from 1 species
UGGGGAAUAUUGCACAAUGGGCGAAAGCCUGAUGCAGCAACGCCGCGUGAGUGAUGAAGGUCUUCGGAUUGUAAAGCUCUGUCUUUUGGGACGAUAAUGACGGUACCAAAGGAGGAAGCCACGGCUAACUACGUGCCAGCAGCCGCGGUAAUACGUAGGUGGCGAGCGUUGUCCGGAUUUACUGGGCGUAAAGGGUGCGUAGGCGGAUGUUUAAGUGAGAUGUGAAAUACCCGGGCUUAACUUGGGUGCUGCAUUUCAAACUGGAUAUCUAGAGUGCAGGAGAGGAGAAUGGAAUUCCUAGUGUAGCGGUGAAAUGCAUAGAGAUUAGGAAGAACACCAGUGGCGAAGGCGAUUCUCUGGACUGUAACUGACGCUGAGGCACGAAAGCGUGGGUAGCAAACAGGAUUAGAUACCCUGGUAGUCCACGCCGUAAACGAUGAGUACUAGGUGUAGGAGGUAUCGACCCCUUCUGUGCCGCAGUAAACACAUUAAGUACUCCGCCUGGGGAAGUACCGAUCGCAAGAUUAAAAC